rnacentral:rRNA from 1 species
UACGAAGGGGGCUAGCGUUGCUCGGAAUCACUGGGCGUAAAGGGUGCGUAGGCGGGUCUUUAAGUCAGGGGUGAAAUCCUGGAGCUCAACUCCAGAACUGCCUUUGAUACUGAAGAUCUUGAGUUCGGGAGAGGUGAGUGGAACUGCGAAUGUAGAGGUGAAAUUCGUAGAUAUUCGCAAGAACACCAGUGGCGAAGGCGGCUCACUGGCCCGAUACUGACGCUGAGGCACGAAAGCGUGGGGAGCAAACAGGG